GAUGAACGCUGGCGGCGUGCUUAACACAUGCAAGUCGAACGGUGAAGGCGGAGCUUGCUCUGCUGGAUCAGUGGCGAACGGGUGAGUAACACGUGAGCAAUCUGCCCCUGACUCUGGGAUAAGCGCUGGAAACGGCGUCUAAUACUGGAUACGAGCUGCGAAGGCAUCUUCAGCAGCUGGAAAGAACUUCGGUCAGGGAUGAGCUCGCGGCCUAUCAGCUUGUUGGUGAGGUAACGGCUCACCAAGGCGUCGACGGGUAGCCGGCCUGAGAGGGUGACCGGCCACACUGGGACGAGGGACGGGCCCGGGCCCCCAGGGGGGGAAGGGGGGGGGAAUAUUGCCAAAGGGGGGAAGGCCGGAUGGAGCACCCCCGGGGGGGGGACGCCGGCCUUGGGGUUGUAAACCCUUUUUGGCAGGAAAGAGGCGAAAGGGCGGGUCCCGAAAAAAAAAGCCCCGGCUAACUAGGG
rnacentral:rRNA from 1 species